rnacentral:rRNA from 1 species
UACGUAGGGACCGAGCGUUGUCCGGAUUCAUUGGGCGUAAAGAGCUCGUAGGCGGCCGCUCAAGUCGAAUGUGAAACCUCGAGGCUCAACCUCGAGCCUGCAUUCGAUACUGGGCGGCUAGAGUCUGGUAGGGGGAUCUGGAAUUCCUGGUGUAGCGGUGGAAUGCGCAGAUAUCAGGAGGAACACCGGUGGCGAAGGCGGGUCUCUGGGCCGAUACUGACGCUGAGGAGCGAAAGCGUGGGGAGCAAACAGG